GUAUAUAACGGAUCGGAUCGGAUAUCCGUUUCUAAAAAUAUUAGUAUUUGUGAUUUGCUUCGUCUUUGACGGAUAUUGGAUUUUAGUAUUUGCUUCGAUUCGUUAAGUUACGGAUAUUCGGAUUUUUCGGAUCGAAUCGGAACGAAUAACGGAUCGAAUCAAAAUUUACGGAUAUUUUGUCCACCCCUAAUUAAAACGUACGUGUCUGUCCUCUCUCUAUAUCCUUCAGAGAGAGCGAGAGAUAGAGAGUCGGUGACUUGACUGCAAUCGCCGGUUCGUUUACGGCGUUUGUCUCCGACAUCCCUUGGCUUUUUCAGGGAUGGUUGGUCGACUCUUGUCUCUGGGGCUCAUCUUUCCUUAGGGUGUAGUCGCCGGUUUUUGACUCUGGCGACCCCGUUUUCACUCCGAUGACGUUGGCCGGCUUGAUUCUGAACCUAUCCUGGAUUUAUUUUAUCUUAUCUAGAUCUUCGUCUCUGAACUUUUGAUUCAGUUUGUUAUCAAUUCCUUUGUGAUUGAUCACAUGCAAUUGGAUUUAGCGGCUCUGUUUUGUACGGAGCUGAUCUCAGCCUCUUAAAUAUUGGCUGUCUUUUGAGAUUCCGGAGAAGACUGAUCUAUCGGUGAUGUUAAAUCGUUUCUCUCGUUGCUAACAGCGUCUCUGACUCCAGGAUCCUGUUUCCGGUGCGUUUCUGGUGGAACAUGCAGAUUAGAGUCGCUGCCGGUGACUUUCCGGCCGGUGACUUAUUUUUGAAGAUAAUUACAUUGCUAUGCCACUGUUUUCAGGCUAUUUAUAGUCAAUUUCGGCAACUAUCAAUGGAAAAUUUAGGACCAAUCACAAUCCAACCAAGUUUUAUCAAUCUCGACCAAUCUCAAACCUAUCGAAGUCCUAUAUUAUAUGAAGGUCACUGGACCGCGCUUGUGUAUAAUCGAUUAACACAUACUUUUAAGAGAAAUUGCACUCGAUAUACAAACAUAACUGGUAUAUUUGCAAGGAUGGAUUUUUUGUCUUUUUGUAUGACGUGUUUUUUCUUAAUGUCAAUACUAUCCCUAUUUUCCUAUAACUAGCCUAAUAUCUAAUACAUUUUAAAAACUCUAUAUUUCAUUUAUUUCAUUUAUAUUUCUUUGUUCUCUCUCUCCUUCGCCUCAGUUUUAUUUUUUCCCUGUUUGCUUGAGUUUUCUUUCUGACUCCUCUCUCACCUUCUCUCCAUCGAUGUCUUUCAUGAUUUUAUCUAGUGCUAUUUCUUAGAAAUCCAAAGAGAGUCAGAGAAUAAUUUAUGAUUAAUGAAGAAGCUUUUGUUUUGAGAGAAAGGGAAUUCAUACCAGUACCUUCUGAAAAAUAGCUCUUCUUCUUGUAGUAACAUUAUUUUGCCAGAGCUGGCGUUACCGUCGAGGAAGUUCAUUCUGCUUCUGUUGUUUCUGAUCAUAUAAUAAGAAAGAAUCGGACAAGGUAGAUCGGAUUGUUGAUGAGUUGGGAGACCAUAUCACCAAGGGUUGCAAUACUAUCAAGUACUAAAUAGUGAACCAUAUAUUAUUGAUGGGGCUGGUACUGAACCUGACCAUAUGAUUAGAACAACAGUUCAUGGUUAGAUUAUUAUUGAAAAUGUUUGCAAAAAGUAUGGACUCUCCAAGCAAUCCACUUUUAUGUGUUUGAGUUUAAUGUAAAAUUUGGUGUGUUUGGAGUUCAAUGAUGAAAUUUUGUAAAAUUACAAGUUCUCUGUAGCGAUGCAAUUAUGUAAAAUAACCGGU